GAGACAGGGGUCUUCAGCUCAUUCCGGGCAGCAUGGAUAACUGCAGCACACUGCUGCGUAGAUCCAUACGCAGGCAUCCACAGUGGGGAUGCUGUUGGGGAUACCGGAGAAACAAAGGAAACCCAGAAAUCUCGUACACCGCUGUUACCUUUGAGGAAGAGGCUGUCAAACGGGAGCUCACGAAUUAAUAACGGGAAAAACUUCAAAGAUUUUACAGCAUUUCAAAUUGAAUGGGGCUAAUCGUAUCUGUAAAACACCUUACAAUAAAAUUCAGACAAAUGAACUCUUUCACGUUGGACUAAAAAUAAGGCCAUGAUAAUGAUCGCCAUGUCACAGACAACCAUGGUUUCUACCAGCUCCUGUGAGACAGCGGGCAAAUACCUGUGACACCUAACUCAACUGUAUAGUAAACAUUAACUGACCCAUCAGAACCAGGAAGAUCUUUGGAGACCAUUGCCCACCUCAUUCGCUUCCCAGAUGAAUUCAGAGGACGGGAGAGAAGGAACUUGCCUGAAGACAGACCCACAGUUAACAUAUUUGCAUUAUUUGAUAUAUCCAGGGCUCUGACACCAGAUGCCCGCUCCCUGCUGUUUCUCGAGAUGUCUUCUGUGCUCCCAAACUCAGAAACUUACUUUUCUGUAUUGGGAAAAAUGUGUUAAACUUGUUGGCACGCCUAAGUGAAGGUCAUUCUGCUGUUCCAUUUCUGCCUUACUGCCAGUAGACCAUGGACCGAAACCUCUGAAAAUUUUCUUAGAUCUCUGGACCUCUGGGAAAUAAAGGAAGCCCUUUGGCAGACUCAGGUGUUCACGGUUCCUGCAUCUGCUUCAAAGCUUCUUUCCAGAGGAAUGAUGGCGUCAUGCUUCUGUCCGGUCUUCAGCCUUGAGAUCCACCUUCUGCAGCUCAAGACAAGCAGCCCUUUAAGAACAUGGAAAGAGUCUUAUUCAACUCUGUUGCCCACCACGCCUAUGACUUCUGGAGGAAUAGAAUAACUGUGGUCAUCCAGACUCAAGAACAAGAACACUGUGUAUAAUGCCUUUGAAGAUGUGAGAGUCCUAUUCUUGAUCAAGGACAGAAAACUUUCCGUCAAGGGAAUAUUUCAGAGUUCAUAAGCUACCCAGGGUCUGUGUAGGAAAUGGAUCUACUCUCCUGCUGUGACAUAAAAGCAG